rnacentral:rRNA from 1 species
AUCGAACGCUGGCGGCAGGCCUAACACAUGCAAGUCGAGCGGUAGCGGGAAAGUAGCUUGCUACUUUUGCCGGCGAGCGGCGGACGGGGGAGUAAUGCCUGGGAAAUUGCCCAGUCGAGGGGGAUAACAGUUGGAAACGACUGCUAAUACCGCAUACGCCCUACGGGGGAAACCAGGGGACCUUCGGGACUUGCGGGAUUGGUUAUGCCCGGGUGGGAUUAGCUAGUUGGUGAGGUAAUGGCUUACCAAGGCGACGAUCCCUAGCUGGUCUGAGAGGAUGAUCAGCCACACUGGAACUGAGACACGGUCCAGACUCCUACGGGAGGCAGCAGUGGGGAAUAUUGCACAAUGGGGGAAACCCUGAUGCAGCCAUGCCGCGUGUGUGAAGAAGGCCUUCGGGUUGUAAAGCACUUUCAGCGAGGAGGAAAGGUUGAUGCCUAAUACGUAUCAACUGUGACGUUACUCGCAGAAGAAGCACCGGCUAACUCCGUGCCAGCCGCCGCGGUAAGAC